rnacentral:rRNA from 1 species
CAGUCGCCACGGUAAUACGUAGGUCCCGAGCGUUGUCCGGAUUUAUUGGGCGUAAAGCGAGCGCAGGCGGUUAGAUAAGUCUGAAGUUAAAGGCUGUGGCUUAACCAUAGUACGCUUUGGAAACUGUUUAACUUGAGUGCAAGAGGGGAGAGUGGAAUUCCAUGUGUAGCGGUGAAAUGCGUAGAUAUAUGGAGGAACACCGGUGGCGAAAGCGGCUCUCUGGCUUGUAACUGACGCUGAGGCUCGAAAGCGUGGGGAGCAAACAGGAUUAGAUACCCCAGUAGUCCCUGUCUCUUAUACA